rnacentral:rRNA from 1 species
GAUUUCUGAUACGAUAUGUCUAGCCCGCCAGGGUUAACCUGUGUGAGUGCUGGAAUGUUAUCGAUCAUCCGUUCUAGAUCACCCUUCUACUCUGUAAUAGGAGUUGGAAAUCAGUGAAUAUCUAGAUCUUUUACUUUGAACAAAUUAGAGUGUUUCAAGCAGGCGUUGUUUGCGUUGAAUACAUUAGCAUGGAAUAAUCGAAUAGGACUUUGGUUCUACUUUUCGUUGGUUUCAAGAACUAAAGUAAUGAUUGAUAGGGAUAGUUGGGGGUGCUAGUAUUCAGUGGCCAGAGGUGAAAUUCUUGGAUUCACUGAAGACUAACUAAUGCGAAAGCAUU